UCCGUGGUUUGCUUCUGUUGAUUCUGGUCUUGUUAUGUUGGGGGCGAGCACAUGCUGCAGCGCACGGUGAUCCAUUUCUUUCAUUCAGUCAAGUUCUUUCAUUCAGUCAUGUUCUUUCAUUCAGUCAAGUUCUACUAAUCCCGCCGAAGGGUAAGACAGUGUGUGUCCCUUUGAAAUUGUCACUUGAAUUUUGUAUAGUUCGGAUAGAUGUUCCAGUUCUUUCAUUCAGUCAAGUUGUACUGAAACUUUCCGCAAAAACAAAAAAAAUAAAAUUCUGCUGAAACUGAGAAAAGGCACAGAAACAUGAAUGUGCUGCCAUGUGCCUGAAUGUGCCUGAAUGUGCUGAUAAUUCUUUCUCAAAUUAGCCUGAAUGUGCUGCGCCGACCUUUGAUGAUAGUGUAUUCUUCUAAAUUGUGCAUGAAUCUGUAGCACACCAUGACACUCCUAUUAUUGGAUCAUCUCCAUUUUUAUUUUCUCCUUUAGAUCAUCUCCAUUUUUAUUUUCACUUUUCAGUUUUACAUGUAGAUUUCGACCCCAAAAAACACAUGGUCUUUUUAACACUUUUCAGUUUGCAUUAUCCUGGAUAUAGAACAUGGAUCUCUGAAUAAUUUAAAUAUUCUGAAUAAUUCAAUAAUUGACAGAGGCAUAACAAUUGAAAUGUAGCUUCAAAUGUCAAAAAUUAGUGUCCUGGAUACAGAACAUGGAUCAGUUUUCAGUUUGCGUAACACUUUUCAGUUUGCAUUAUCCUUCUCUGAAUAAUUCAAAUGUCCUGGAUACAGAACAUGGAUAACACUGUAUAUUUAGUGUAGAAUCUUUUUAGUAACUUUGAAUUUUGACUACUACUUCUGCUGUUUAGUAACUUUUCUGAAUUUUGGCCACUACUACAGUAAGUUCAAGUGAGUAACUAUAGUAACUUCAAGUGAGUAACUCCAUUUUCUGAUUUUUUUUUACAUAAAACUAACCAUGAUAUUUGUUCCUCUGUUCUGGUCAUAAUUAUAAUCUGAUUGCUGAACCCUUAAUCAUUCUCAUAAUGUUUACAUGACGCACAAUUAUACUGCCGUCAAAACUACUCCAUACACACACUGUCGAAACUGACAAGAUGGUGGUGGAGGUGGGAAUAAAUGUUCAGUAUUGGUGCAUUUUCUGUGCUUACAAAAUUCAGAUUGAAUUUCACUACCAAAAGAAAAGAAGUGGAGAUUAAAUGUUGCAUUCUACUUACUUCACCUGUGUGUAACUCUUUUGGUGCAUUUUCUGCAGAACCUAUGUGUAGCUGCAGCAUACAGGUCAGUUCAUCAACUGCUCGAAGAAGAAAAGAAGGUGGCAUUUCCUUGCCUUUAGCAUACAAGCCAGUUCACUUAAUGUCCUCUGGUGCUAUAUUUCUGAGAACAUCCAAGUUUUUACUUAUCACUUUGCUAGCAUUCACAAGUCUAUUGAAGCGUGCAUGUCUUUGUGAAUCUUGCUGUCUACUCCAAGUAGAUGGUGUAGAGCCUGGCAAAGGAUAUUAGUACUUGGUGCAUUCGAAGUUUAUAACCACUCUAGAUUUACAAGUGUUUACUGAAGAUGACAAGUGUUUAUAACCACUAAGGAAUGCCUUUCUUCGGUAGUACUGGAUCUAUAAAUAAGGCCUUGUAGAUAAAAAGCCCAAGUACAGUCUUACUUGCAAGCAUUCUUUUAUCUUUUUCUACACAACUAGGAUGCUUGCUAGUUUAAGUUUUCAACUGUAUUUAUUGCAUGUGCAUUUAUGUGGAAUUCCAAAACUCAAAAUUUGAUUUUACUAAGCGUUGAUAUGUCGUUAGCAUUUUCUGUUCUUUUGAAUUUAUUGGUGUAUAUAAUUCUGGUCAGCGCCGCUGCUGGAGCAGUAGACGUUUUGCACAAUAAGGUGCCGCAAGUCAUCAAAGCACAGACAGAGGGACUCCAUGAGGGCUACUCUGCCCAGAGGUGGGCCGGAUAGGUCUCAGCGAAGUUCAUCCAGCUGCUGGACCAAGUACAGUCUUAUCAUAAACCAAAGUAAGUUUCACAACACAAAUUCUCAGGCUCCUUAUCAUAAAUCAGAGGAUAUCAUUCCUAGCAUUAAGCAGUUUAAGGACUUACAACAGCUAAGUUGAUUUCAGUUUGCAAAACAGAGAAAAUUAGAUGUUUGAAGUGGGAUUGUCUGAUUGUACAGGCAUUUUGUAACACCUACUCCAUCUAGCAUCUAGCAACUCUGCAGUCUGAUUGUACAGGCAUUUUGUUUGGAACUGAAUUAAGUAUGCAGUCAUGAAGUGGUGAUUAUUUGAAGCAAUUAAGUAUGAUGGCAUUUUGUACUUCAGUUUAUUUAUACACAUUCUCAAAUCAUUCUCAGAUCCUGCCAUCUCUAUACAUAUUUUUUGUGCUUCAGUUUAUUUAUACACAUUCUCAAAUCAUUGCUUGCGGCAGUAGAGUUUCUCAAAUUUAUGUUUAGCAUUUCAUCACCGCAUCUUUGAAAUUUAUUUGUGAUCA
rnacentral:lncRNA from 1 species